GUUGUUGUGAUGAGCUGUUAACAUAUAAGAAGAGCUCAUUGGAAACGCUCUUCGAUGAUGAGAUGUAUUUCUUACGCUUGGCUUCUGAGAUCC